rnacentral:rRNA from 1 species
AUUGAACGCUUGCGGCAGGCCUAACACAUGCAAGUCGAGCGAGCGGCGGACGGGUGAGUAAUGUCUGGGAAACUGCCUGAUGGGGGGGGAUAACUACUGGAAACGGUAGCUAAUACCGCAUACCAUCAGAUGUGCCCAGAUGGGAUUAGCUAGUAGGUGGGGUAAAGGCUCACCUAGGCGACGCUCCGUAGCUGGUCUGAGAGGAUGACCAGUCACACUGGAACUGAGACACGGUCCAGAAUCCUACGGGAGGCAGCAGUGGGGAAUAUUGCACAAUGGGCGCAAGCCUGAUGCAGCCAUGCCGCGUGUAUGAAGAAGGCCUUCGGGUUGUAAAGCACUUUAAGCGGGGAGGCGUUACCCGCAGAAGAAGCACCGGCUAACUCCGUGCCAGCAGCCGCGGUAAUAC